AGCGAACGCUGGCGGCAGGCCUAACACAUGCAAGUCGAACGAAGUCUUCGGACUUAGUGGCGGACGGGUGAGUAACACGUGGGAACGUACCUUUUGGUUCGGAACAACUCAGGGAAACUUGAGCUAAUACCGGAUGAGCCCUUAGGGGGAAAGAUUUAUCGCCGAAAGAGCGGCCCGCGUUAGAUUAGCUAGUUGGUGAGGUAAAGGCUCACCAAGGCUACGAUCUAUAGCUGGUCUGAGAGGAUGAUCAGCCACACUGGGACUGAGACACGGCCCAGACUCCUACGGGAGGCAGCAGUGGGGAAUCUUGCGCAAUGGGCGAAAGCCUGACGCAGCCAUGCCGCGUGAAUGAUGAAGGCCUUAGGAUUGUAAAAUUCUUUUACCAGGGACGAUAAUGACGGUACCUGGAGAAAAGCCCCGGCUAACUUCGUGCCAGCCGCCGCAGUAACAC
rnacentral:rRNA from 1 species